CCCUUAGAUGUUCUGGGCCGCACGCGCGCUACACUGACGAAGUCAGCGAGCAUGUCCUACGCCGACAGGUGCGGGGAAUCUUGUCAAACUUCGUCGUGAUGGGGAUUGAUUUUUGAAAUUCUUGAUCAUAAACGAGGAAUACCUUGUAGGCGCAUGUCAUCAUCAUGCGCCGAAUACGUCCCUGCCCUUUGUACACACCGCCCGUCGCUCCUACCGAUUGAGUGAUCCGGUGAGGCUCUGGGACCUGGACGGAAAGAGCGUUUCGCUUGUUCUGUUUGGGAAACUUGGUCGAACCUUAUCAUUUAGAGGAAGGAGAAGUCGUAACA
rnacentral:rRNA from 1 species